rnacentral:rRNA from 4 species
AGACCCGAAACCCGGUGAUCUAGCCAUGGGCAGGUUGAAGGUUGGGUAACACUAACUGGAGGACCGAACCGACUAAUGUUGAAAAAUUAGCGGAUGACCUGUGGCUGGGGGUGAAAGGCCAAUCAAACCGGGAGAUAGCUGGUUCUCCCCGAAAGCUAUUUAGGUAGCGCCUCGUGAAUUCAUCUCCGGGGGUAGAGCACUGUUUCGGCUAGGGGGCCAUCCCGGCUUACCAACCCGAUGCAAACUGCGAAUACCGGAGAAUGUUAUCACGGGAGACACACGGCGGGUGCUAACGUCCGUCGUGAAGAGGGAAACAACCCAGACCGCCAGCUAAGGUCCCAAAGUCAUGGUUAAGUGGGAAACGAUGUGGGAAGGCCCAGACAGCCAGGAUGUUGGCUUAGAAGCAGCCAUCAUUUAAAGAAAGCGUAAUAGCUCACUGGUCGAGUCGGCCUGCGCGGAAGAUGUAACGGGGCUAAACCAUGCACCGAAGCUGCGGCAGCGACACUGUGUGUUGUUGGGUAGGGGAGCGUUCUGUAAGCCUGUGAAGGUGGCCUGUGAGGGUUGCUGGAGGUAUCAGAAGUGCGAAUGCUGACAUAAGUAACGAUAAAGCGGGUGAAAAGCCCGCUCGCCGGAAGACCAAGGGUUCCUGUCCAACGUUAAUCGGGGCAGGGUGAGUCGACCCCUAAGGCGAGGCCGAAAGGCGUAGUCGAUGGGAAACGGGUUAAUAUUCCCGUACUUGGUGUUACUGCGAAGGGGGGACGGAGAAGGCUAUGUUGGCCGGGCGACGGUUGUCCCGGUUUAAGCGUGUAGGUGUGUGUUCCAGGUAAAUCCGGUU